UGCAGCCGCGGUAAUUCCAGCUCCAAUAGCGUAUAUUAAAGUUGUUGCAGUUAAAAAGCUCGUAGUUGAAUUUCGGGGUUCUACCGUCGGUCGGGCUAACAAGUCUGUACUGGUGUGUAGAAUUUCUACCUUCUGGGGAACUAUCAUGUUAUUAAUUUAGCGUGGUGGGAAACCAGGACCUUUACCUUGAAAAAAUUAGAGUGUUCAAAGCAGGCUUACGUCUGAAUACAUUAGCAUGGAAUAAUAGAAUAGGACGGUGGUCCUGUUUUGUUGGUUUCUGAAUCACCGUAAUGAUUAAUAGGGAUAGUUGGGGGCAUUAGUAUUCAAUUGUCAGAGGUGAAAUUCUUGGAUUUAUUGAAGACUAACUUCUGCGAAAGCAUUUGCCAAGGAUGUUUUCAUUAAUCAAGAACGAAAGUUAGGGGAUCGAAGACGAUCAGAUACCGUCGUAGUCUUAAC
rnacentral:rRNA from 1 species